GGAAGAUGUGGGUACACUGAUUACCCUCAGGGCUUGGAUCCAUGGUGCAAUUUAUGCAAAUGCAAACCUGGUUUAAAAGGUUCCUGUCCUGCCUGUUAGCCCUUUCCCCACCCUCAUCGUUCCUUCCCACCCCAGUGUGCUUUAUGUAGCUCUUCCUUGGAUCACGCUCCAACUCAGAAGAGUGAUGUGGUUCAGGUUAAACCCAAACUGGGAAGUUUAAGGUGAUAUUUUAAGAUCUUUUUUUGAAAGUGUGCUUAGACCAAAGAGGCUCUGCUCUGAAUCUGUGGGCAAAGCUGGAAUGACAAGCAGGCAAUGUCCAACCUGCUCUGCACAUGUCUCCACAUACCAAGGGAAAAGAUGCUUUAACUGCAUUUUCAGUGCUGCCCUGUUUGAAUGGAAGACAAAGCAGUGUGAGAGCAGAGGGAAUGCAUUAUUUAUUGUGCUGGUACCACGAGGGGCAGGGAAGGCACAUACCCAGAGGAGAAGAGGCGAAGCUCCCAUUGCGUUUACUGUCGUAACUAAGCACGAGGGCCUGGUUCUGAUCUUACUCAUGUUGGUAUAAAUCACGACCACCACAGGCUGUGGAUGCGUGCCCUCUUCUUGAUGAAGCGAUGCCAGCACAGCAGCUGGCUCUUCUCUGCUGUUCCCUUGCUGCAGGUUCCCUCUUUGCUGGCUGCUGGCAAUAAGCUGAGCCCGCUGGGUGCUGCGGGCACACAUCCUGCAGUGCCCCGUGCCUGAGGGAGUACUGAGAAGGAAGCCAGGAACCUGUGAAAUGCACGCUGAGUUUGCCAUGCCAGGCGUGGGGCUUCACUUUAAAGGAAAUUCAGAGCUCAGGCCUCAAAAAACAGCCUUGAAAAAAUCUGUGCUUAAAAAAUAAUCCUAGGAUAGGGGUGUGCUGUUGGUGCUCCCAUUGGCUGAUGGUCCCAUCUGUGUGUGACCCCCCCAGCCCGCUCUCCCUCUGCUUCCUCCAUGUUGUCUUGCCACCUUGUCCAUGCUUGCAGUCAGGUUGGUUUUUCCCUAGAGGUGUGCUGAGCCCAAUCUUCUGUCAGCUGUCUGCAGAAUGGGCUGCUGGGCAUAUUUCUGCCCUGGGAGGGGUGAUGUGACCCCAGAAAGGGCAAGCAACCCUAACAGGACUGGCAGAAGGGGACAGGACAUGUCUCCUCUGGUCCUUCCUGGACUUGCUGUGAGACCUGAGGAAAGGCUCUUCACUUUGCUCUUGGGCUGAGUUGCAAGGUCUUAGUGUUAGGGGUGGUCUGUGGUUAUGGGGUCUCAACUGCGAGCGAGGAUGUGUUUUAAUACAGUUUUAUUAUAGUUUGUUCUUUCUAAGGUUUCUACACAAGGCAUUUGAAUGGUGGCCAGCACAAAGUGGGCCAUUUGCAGUCUGG
rnacentral:lncRNA from 1 species